UACGAAGGGUGCAAGCGUUAAUCGGAAUUACUGGGCGUAAAGCGUGCGCAGGCGGUUUUGUAAGCCAGAUGUGAAAGCCCCGGGCUCAACCUGGGAAUGGCAUUUGGGACUGCAAGGCUUGAGUGCGGCAGAGGAGACUGGAAUUCCUGGUGUAGCAGUGAAAUGCGUAGAUAUCAGGAGGAAUACCGAUGGCGAAGGCAGGUCUCUGGGCUGACACUGACGCUCAUGCACGAAAGCGUGGGGAGCAAACAGG
rnacentral:rRNA from 1 species